rfam:Ovis aries breed Texel chromosome 16, whole genome shotgun sequence.
UCCCUGGUGGCUCAGAGGUUAAAGCAUCUGCCUGGAAUGCUGGAGUCCCAGGUUUGAUCCCUGGGUCGGGAA